GGGAGCGCAGCGCUGUCGGUGCCGGUCCUGCCCGUCCCGCCGCGGCCCCUGCUCGCUCGGCACCCCGGUGGUGGGCAUGGCCCCGGCCCCCGCCCGGCUACCAGGCCCCGCUGGCACAGUGAUGGAGCUGCCCAGGGCACCAGCUUGGUGUCAGUCUGGCCAUCUCGGGGGAUGCUGCUGGGCGGGGACUGGUUACACCCCUCCCGUUGUGCCCAUCCCUAAAUCAGCUGGCAUGGGGUACCUGGGGCACAGCAAGGCUCUGGAUGGGCACAAGGCUGGCAGCCCCUGGCAGCACCCUGGGGGCCAGGGAGCUCGCUGGGGCAUCACAGCUGAAAUCUUCCGAAUGGCUGAGAAACGUUAAAAAGAAAGGGCCCUGGCAGACUAAAUAAAAAAGUGAAAUUUGGAAGAGGAGAAGGAACAGAAUCUGAGCAGCUGAGAGAACCAGGAUUGCAAUGAAUUUCUCCCUCAGUCCCACUGGGACCAGUCACGGUGUGCAGCAAUGCCCCAGUGCCAGGGGGCUCAGGGGGCAGCUGGGGCUGGUUCGCACCCUCUGCCCCUCUCUGGGUGGUGGUGGGAAGGGCUGGAGGAGGAGGAAGAGGACAGCAAGGCGGAAAGGAGGAGGAGAGAUCCCUGGGAAGUUUCCAAAUGCCUCCGGGCUCUGGAAUCCUCUGUGACUCCUCAAGCAGUGGGUGCUGGGUGUGUGGGUGGGAGAAGCACCUCCCUGCCCUCUUCCCCUCCUUCUUGUGCCCUUCCAGGAUUCCUUGAGUGUGUCCCUACUGCCUCUGCCACGAGAAGGGGGUUGUUAGAAAACAGCUUUUAUGAGGGUUUUUUGAAAGCAUUUAGAAAAUGUGUAUCUGUUACAGCACCGGGCUCCCCUCGCCCUGCAUGCUCCCUCACCCUGCGUGCUCCCCAAGGCUCCCAAAGGUCUUUGGAAGAUCUGUCGGUCACAGCUCUGCUCAGUGGGAGCUUCCCUUUGAGUCUGAGAGGAUUACAUCCCACCAUCCCAACACAGCAGGCCUUUCUCAGCCUGUUUUUUGUUUGUGUGUGUUGGUCCUUGCCUUUUUCUCCAUCUUCCAUCGUCACCAGCAUCACCAGCACCAUCCCAGGAUGGUUUGGGGGAGAAGGGACCUUAAAGCCCGUCCAGUUCCUCCCCUGCAGACAGGCACACCUUCCACCAGGCCAGGCUGCCCCACACCCCCUCCAACCCAGCCUUGAGUUCUUCCAGGGAUGGAGCAGCCACCGCUUCUCUGGGUAACCUGUGCCAGGGCCUCACCACCCUGACAGGGAAGAAUUUCUCCCCAGUACCCCACUAAACGCUGUCCCCAGUCAGUUAUCACACAAGCAUUUGUGAAUUGUCUCCAUUCCAGCACCUUUGACUGCGCAGACACCCCAGGUGCAGCCUCCUCCGCCGCGGCACCCUCUCAGUCAGGGAUUCCAGGAUUUAUCCCUGAUGAAGGAAGGGACAUCAUCCCUCAUCCCUCCUCACCCUCAGUGAUGCAGCCUGCACCAGUCGAGGUGGCUUUGCCCUGACAGGAAAAAUAAUAUGGAGGAGAAAAUCCUCUUGAUCUCAUGCCAGGAAAUGUCAGUGCCACAGCAGCGAGGGACCUGAGGAGAGUCUGCAGGUGACUUUGGCCACUCCUGGGGAUUCACAGCUCCAGAAUCACUGAGGACAGAAAACUCUCGGAGAAGCCCAAGCCCACCACCCUCAGCACGACCAUGGCCACCACUGCCCAUGUCCCCAAGUGGCACAGCCACAGGAAUUUAAACGUGGGAGUGACUGGAGCCAUACUGGGGGUGACUGGUAGCAACUGGAACUACACUGGGGACAAAUGGUAGCAUAGUGGGGCUAACUGGGUAAAUUAGAAUUACGCUAGGAGCAACUGAAACCAUACUGGCAGCAACGGAGAUUGUAUUUGGAGCAGCUGGGCCCAUGCUGGGGAGAACUGACCCCACUGGGACUGUGUGGAAACACACUGCGGUUACUGGAAUAGUACGGGGAGUGUCCAGGAGGAGCUGGGAUCACACUGGGAAUAACAGGGAUU